UAAGGAAUAUUGCGCAAUGGGCGAAAGCCUGAUGCAGCGACGCCGCGUGGGGGAUGAAGGCCUUAGGGUCGUAAACCCCUUUCAGCAGGGACGAAAAUGACGGUACCUGCAGAAGAAGCCCCGGCCAACUACGUGCCAGCAGCCGCGGUAAGACGUAGGGGGCGAGCGUUGUCCGGAUUUAUUGGGCGUAAAGAGCUCGUAGGCGGUUGCGUAAGUCGGAUGUGAAAACUCAGGGCUCAACCCUGAGACGCCAUCCGAUACUGCGCUGACUUGAAUCCAGUAGGGGAGUGUGGAAUUCCUGGUGUAGCGGUGAAAUGCGCAGAUAUCAGGAGGAACACCCAUGGCGAAGGCAGCACUCUGGGCUGGUAUUGACGCUGAGGAGCGAAAGCAUGGGUAGCGAACAGGAUUAGAUACCCGUGUAGUCCCUGAG
rnacentral:rRNA from 1 species